rfam:Oryza glumipatula chromosome 11, whole genome shotgun sequence.
AUCCCAUGAAGAGGACAGGCGGCCACAUACUCCUGCAGUCGUUCCCAUGCCACCAGAAUGAACUCGUCCCUUGUCUGCUGGAAACUGGAAAUUCGUCCACGAAGGGC